UGGGGAAUUUGGACAAUGGGCGAAGCCUGAUCCAGCAAUGCCGCGUGUGUGAAGAAGGCCUUCGGGUUGUAAAGCACUUUUGUCCGGAAAGAAAUCCUUGGCUCUAAUACAGUCGGGGGAUGACGGUACCGGAAGAAUAAGCACCGGCUAACUACGUGCCAGCAGCCGCGGUAAUACGUAGGGUGCAAGCGUUAAUCGGAAUUACUGGGCGUAAAGCGUGCGCAGGCGGUUUGCUAAGACCGAUGUGAAAUCCCCGGGCUCAACCUGGGAACUGCAUUGGUGACUGGCAGGCUAGAGUAUGGCAGAGGGGGGUAGAAUUCCACGUGUAGCAGUGAAAUGCGUAGAGAUGUGGAGGAAUACCGAUGGCGAAGGCAGCCCCCUGGGCCAAUACUGACGCUCACGCACGAAAGCGUGGGGAGCAAACAGGAUUAGAUACCCUGGUAGUCCACGCCCUAAACGAUGUCAACUAGUUGUUGGGGAAUUCAUUUUCCUUAGUAACGUAGCUAACGCGUGAAGUUGACCGCCUGGGGAGUACGGUCGCAAGAUUAAAACUCAAAGGAAUUGACGGGGUCAUAGCUG
rnacentral:rRNA from 1 species